UCCUGGUUAGCUCAGUUGGUAGAGCGCUCCACUGGAAACGUAGAGGUCCCUGGUACGAUAUCAGUACCAGGCG
rfam:Ixodes scapularis strain Wikel colony gcontig_1108378849336, whole genome shotgun sequence.